rnacentral:rRNA from 1 species
CCUACGGGCGGCAGCAGUGAGGAAUAUUGGUCAAUGGACGAGAGUCUGAACCAGCCAAGUAGCGUGAAGGAUGACUGCCCUAUGGGUUGUAAACUUCUUUUAUAUGGGAAUAAAACGUUCCACGUGUGGGAUUUUGUCUGUAUCACAUGAAUCAGGAUCGGCUAACUCCGGGCCAGCAGCCGCGGUAAUACGGAGGUUCCGAGCGUUAUCCGGAUUUAGUGGGUUUAAAGGGAGCGUAGGUGGAUUGUUAAGUCAGUUGUGAAAGUUUGGGGCUCAACCGUAAAAUUGCAGUUGAAACUGGCAGUCUGGAGUACAGUAGAGGUAGGCGGAAUUCGUGGUGUAGCGGUGAAAUGCUUAGAUAUCACGAAGAACUCCGAUGGCGAAGGCAGUUCACUGGACUGCAACUGACACUGAGGCUCGAAAGUGUGGGUACCAAACAGGAUUAGAUACCCCGGUAGUC